rfam:Eubacterium limosum KIST612, complete genome.
AAUAUUUACGAAUGAUAUGGUGCCCCAUAAGGGGAGAAUAGGGAAUCAGGUGGAAGUCCUGAACGAACCCAUCACUGUAAGCGGUAGUGACCGGCAAGUGCCACUGAAAGGGAAGGCGUCGGUUCAUGUUAAUCCGUAAGUCAGGAGACCUGCCUAUGAUUCUUAACGCAU